rnacentral:rRNA from 1 species
GACGAACCGUGCGAACGUUGUUCGGAAUCACUGGGCUUAAAGGGCGCGUAGGCGGGCUGACAAGUCUGGGGUGAAAUCCCACGGCUCAACCGUGGAACUGCCUUAGAUACUGUCGGCCUCGAGGAAGGUAGGGGCAUGCGGAACUGUAGGUGGAGCGGUGAAAUGCGUUGAUAUCUACAGGAACUCCGGUGGCGAAAGCGGCGUGCUGGACCUUUUCUGACGCUGAGGCGCGAAAGCCAGGGGAGCAAACGGG